rnacentral:rRNA from 1 species
GGGGACAACACUCCGAAAGGGGUGCUAAUACCGGAUACGAAGUCUGUGCCGCAUGGUACGGAUUUGAAAGAUGGCCUCUAUUUAUAAGCUAUCGCCGGGGGAUGGGCCUGCGUCCGAUUAGCUGGUUGGUGGGUAACGGCCUACCAAGGCGACGAUCGGUAGCCGGUCUGAGAGGACUGAACGGCCACAUUGGGACUGAGACACGGCCCAGACUCCUACGGGAGGCAGCAGUGGGGAAUCUUCCGCAAUGGGCGCAAGCCUGACGGAGCAACGCCGCGUGAACGUGAGGAAGUUCUUCGGAACGUAAAGCUCUGUUGUUCCUGACGAACCUCCCCUCUAUCAACAACGGAGGGGACUGACGGUAGGGAACGAGGAAGCCACGGCUAACUACGUGCCAGCAGCAGC